GGGACAGAUUCCCAGAUAUCCCUCGUACGUGAUGCUAAAUAUCUGCCUUCUUGAUCUUGGGCUAAAGAUAGCUGCUAGCUACCUGGCUAGUGGCUGGCAGCUGUCAUUAGGCGUCACUGAUCGGUGGAUUCCAAAGUACCGGAUUUCUCCCCGUGGCGGCACAAAGUUUGUUUUUCUGAUACGAGGCCUCGCUUCCUCCUGACCAGCCUUCCUGCGGUGUGGGGUCUCCUCCAGACCGUUGUUGUCCCUGGAGAGCGACGAGCACUUCUGAUCUUUACGAAACUUGGCCCUCCUGUUCUUGAACCACACCUGGAGGAGAGAGAGAGGAAACCACCACGCUAACUGUUCCCCAUUAACAAACAGCCACAGUGCUGCAGUCUUGGUGUCAGGUGAACAGUCAGGUGCUGCCGGGUGGAGUUUGCUCUCUCACCUGAAUACGAGCCUCGGGCAGGUUGAUGCAAACAGCCAGCCUCUCUCUCAUGCCCACGUCUGGGUACUGUGUCUGUUGGAAGGCUUUCUCCAGAGCCUGCAGCUGGGACACGCUGAACGCUGUGCGGCUGCGACGCUGCUUCUGCUGGUUCCCAUAGCGAGCCUCCAGAAUCAGCUCUGAUGGGACAGAGAGAGGAAAAUAACCAUCACACUAUGAGUCAGCAGAUUGUCGGAGGUUGACAAGGAGCAGCCUGUGUAAUUAGUCAGGAGCAAACAUGUCAGGUCAAUUGUUAUAAAGCAUUUGUAUUACAACAUUUUACCAGAGCGAGGCCCAAUGGGUCACAUAACUCCUUCUAAAAGCUGAAAUGAGACUUAAAAGCUGAAUAAAACCUGUAUUGUUAAUUCA